UACGAAGGGGGCUAGCGUUGCUCGGAAUCACUGGGCGUAAAGGGUGCGUAGGCGGGUCUUUAAGUCAGGGUGAAAUCCUGGAGCUCAACUCCAGAACUGCCUUUGAUACUGAGGAUCUUGAGUUCGGGAGAGGUGAGUGGAACUGCGAGUGUAGAGGUGAAAUUCGUAGAUAUUCGCAAAGAACACCAGUGGCGAAGGCGGCUCACUGGCCCGAUACUGACGCUGAGGCACGAAAGCGUGGGGAGCAAACAGGG
rnacentral:rRNA from 1 species